CUCUUACUAAUCUAGUACAAUCCAUGCAUGCUUCCACAUAUUUUGGCAGGAGAAAGUAGGAGUCCACUGACAAUGGUUUGGGAUAUUACUAGCCAGUGUUUCUGAAUUUAUACAUUUUUUAUCUCUUUCUGAAAGACAAGAUUCAGUAAAGCAAUGGAGAGACUGCAAGCAGUUUGAAGGUGAAGACAUGGAGGUGACAAAAGCACACUAAAUGUACAAGAAUCUUGGCUGCAGAGAUCAGCUUAUAAGCUUUUCACAAACCCCUGUUGAAAUUUUGAAUGUAAUUGAAGCUUCAGAGUUCUCUAACAGGAAUUUUCCCACUUCAUUUUCCAGAAGAAACUCUAAAGGUAAGUAGGUUACUAUUCCAUCUUAAAGGUGAAAAACACAUAUAUUAGAAAUGUUUAGUAAGC
rnacentral:lncRNA from 1 species